CAACCCUCAGGCCCCUCCCCCUCCGGGGGUGUAGCCUGGCGUUGGGGUAUCUGCAGUUGACCGCAGGCCCUGAAAGAAAGUGGCGGUGCCCGCUAGCACUCCGGGCGCAGUGGAUGUCUUUCUCGCCCAGGACGUCUCGCGGGCCGCCGGCCGUAAAACAGACACCCCAGUCAUUACAA
rnacentral:misc_RNA from 1 species